AUAACAUUUUGAACCGCAUGGUUCGAAAUUGAAAGGCGGCUUCGGCUGUCACUUAUGGAUGGACCCGCGUCGCAUUAGCUAGUUGGUGAGGUAACGGCUCACCAAGGCAACAAUGCGUACCCCACCUGAGAGGGUGAUCGGCCACACUGGGACUGAGGCUCGGACCAGACUCCUACUG
rnacentral:rRNA from 1 species